CGAAUACUGACUGUUGAUGUAGAAUUGAGCCAUACAGUAAUAAACUGCAGCAUCUUCAGUCUGGACUCCACUGAUGGUCAGACUGAAGUCAGUGUUUGUUUCAGAGUCAGAGAGCCGUGUCUCUCUACAGUCAGAGGUUUUUGUACGACGCCUCAAUCAGUUUGUAUCACUGUGGUGGACUUUUGGUGGAGGAACCAGACUGCAUGUUGGAAGUGAUGUCCGUCCCACCCUGACGGUGCUGCCCCCCUCCAGUGAGGAGCUGCAGCAGGGGAAGGCCACGCUCAUGUGCCUGGCCAACAAGGGCUUCCCCUCAGACUGGAGUCUGUCCUGGAAGGUGGACGGCAGCAGCAGCGUCAGCUGGGAGGAGAGCAGGAGCCCUGGGGUGCUGGAGAAGGACGGCCACUACAGCUGGAGCAGCACCC